GUAAUCACAACUCAGAACCCAAAUUUCCAAUUCUUGGGAAAGACAUGAGUAGACCCUAAUUUUUUGUUGAACCAAAACUAAACUUCAUGCAAACAUAUCUACUUCAUAUUAAAUCAAAACACGUCACUAUUAUUCAGUUUAUCAAUUAAAUUUACCAAUUAAAUCUUCAAUUAAGAAAACCCUAAUUUAAAUUGUCUUACUGUUAGGUUUGAAUUCACCAAAUAACCAGCACCAUCAACUACUCCUUGAUCUUUCUCGAUUUCUCUCGAUCCCAAAACUUCUGUUGAUUCCUUCAUCCGUAACACUUUUUUUUAUUUUUUUAUUCAACCCUCUUAAAUGUACAAGAAAUCCUAACUCAAUCGAAUCUUUGAUCUCGGUAACCCUCUUCUCGAUCCAUUGAUUCUACUAAUUUUUUUUAUUUCUCGCUGGUAACAGAUACCAACAUGGAUUGUUCACUGGUUUUGAUUCUCUUAUUUUCAAAAACGGCUGGCAAAGAACAAAUAUGGAAGAGGGAACUGAAAGAAGAGAUUUUACGGAAAAUCAGAAAGACUUCUCAAGAUGAACAGAAAGUUGAUUCAACUUUACCAUAAAGAGAGAAUGGUGAUAGUUAAGAGGAAGUGCCCAAAUCUCCAUGCUACAGAAAGAGAGAAUGUUGCUGCAAGCUGAACUUGGUUAGAAUUUGUACAUCAAUAAUGUUCACUUUGUUGGAAAACAUAUCCUGUUAGAGUGUUGGAUGUAUUAAUACUAACCCGAGUCAAGCUAGGAAAACUAAUACUCUCCAAGUUUACAUUGCUGCUCCGCUAGCUUCAAGUAAAGGUCAAGUUGACUUCUAUCGCCCUACUGUCUUUCAACUUGCGUAAUUGUUGGAACAAUUACCGAUUUCAAACCUGCAAAACAAAAGUUAAACACAAAAACAAGAUAACGGCUGAGUCACGAUCAGGUCGCUCUCUUUAAGACGUUUCGUGGCUCUGGCUUGAGUUUUGUGCAAGCAGUUCGUUCUUCGUCACAAUGUCCCAGGAUAAAACAGGCGAGAUAAAAAAUCUCUUCAACCCCUCACGCACACAAUGAGAGAUUGAUCACUUUCACUCUUUCUUAUCUUGCUCAGAAAAACUAGUUUCUUAAUUCUCAUAAAAAAAACAACAGUGAUAUUGAAAACUUGUUUUCCUUCUGCUUCCAAAACUGAUUUUUAUAGCCAAGGGCAGUAAAACUGGAUUGAAAAUUCUUUUUCAGAAUCAUAUAUACAUAUUAUUUAUAUAUAUGUACCCAAUCAGUAGGGGGAGGGAUUUGAUCCUGAGACCUCACCCUCAAGGCCCAAAAUACUUAACCACUGGGCCAAACUCAAAUUGUUGAUAAAUAUACAAAAAAAAUUAUUUUAAAACAUAUAUCCCAACAGUAAUUUUAAAGUCGCAUAUAGGAUACCAAAAUCAAGAUCGCACUUUUAAUGGUUCGGAAGAAAAAUCAAAAAACAAUGGAUAACCGUAAACAAGGUUUGUAAGCCAGCCAGAUUACCAAUAUAUUGUUGAUUUUUUUUUUUUGAGCAGUCACUGUUGGAUUUCGGUUUCAUAAUUUUGGUGGUGCUUGGUUUACAAAAGAAGUUGUCGAUUCAAUUAACGCCUGAUUUUCAUUAUGUAAAAACGAAGUGAACAUAAAUUUAUUCCAUUUAAUAUUUAAUUUUUUUAGAACAGCUCCACUAUAAAACGAUCGACGAGUUACAGUUGGAGUCAUCGUGGUUUAUGGUGUAAUCUUGUUUUCAUAAUCUGCAGAGCUAAAACAAAUUUAUUUAUUUAUCCGAACAUUAAUAUUUUAUCAAUUGUUUUUCUAAAAUGUUCCAGUCGUUAGUGGUGCCUUUGUAUUUUGAUGGACUCCAAAAGAGUGAAACAUGUUUUGUAGUAGCCCAUGAAUACAAGAUGCUGCAACCAGUUAUAGUUGAACAAAUAUUAUAGUGUCUUAUCGCUGAAGGUACUUAAAUAUCCAUGAGAAUUUAUAUAAAUAUUUCCUUGAAGUGUGAAGGUGUAUCAGAUGUCCAGGUUUCUUCAAAGGGUGCUAUCUUGGCACUCUUUCUCUUUUCUAAUCUUAUCUUGCCUUUCUCAAAAAACAAGAUGUCCAGGUUUCUCCGUUGCUGCAACUGCUAUGACAACUUCUUGGGAAUUACCGAAACUGCAUCUAUACAAGACAUGAGUAUUUGGGAAUCAUCAAGGAAUCAUCAAUGAUGGCUGAAAGAGUUUGGUACAAUUUCUUGGGAAUUACCGAAACUGCAUCUAUACAAGAGAUUAGGCCGCUUACGAGUUGAACGGUUGAAUCUAGCUAAAACUGUUGAUGAUAAAAGCAGUUGAAGAAACUUUUUGGCAAAUAGCUGCUGAUGCGCUGCAUAUAAGAUUCUUGAAAUGGACACUUAUCAGAUUCAUGUUGUCUAUGCUAUUGUUGUGACAUGUGAACUCCGUGUCAGACUCAUACAACAUACAGAUAGGCUGUGGCUCUCCGUGAUACCCUCUUUAGUGGUGCUGCUGACGAUUGGGGAAGAGCUUUUGGGAGCAUUAAUGAUGGUUCCAGUUCACCAAUUGGUCUAAGAGGAACAAUGAAUGCUGGUAUAGCUCCACUUUAAGGCAGAUGACGUGUACAAAGCUGGUGAUAUAAGGAUGUAUAGCUAAGGCUGUUACUGAAGCAAUAUGACUGGUUAAGUAGUCAAAUAAUGUAGCACCCAAAUACCCAAUAGCCGCGCCUUUUGAUCAACUGUAUAUCUGUAUUAAGUCAGGAGAACAGAUCAUUCAUCUAUUCCCAUGAAUUAGCGGGACGGGGACACGGUUUUGUGCUUUGUGUGCCCACAUGAGACAACAGGGGACGAUAUAAUAGAGCUAGCUUAUACUUUCGGCCAUAAAUUAUACCGAAAGAAGAGGGAAUACGGUUUAGUCAGUAAUUUAAAAAAACAUACCAAACUUAGAUAAUAUUAAAUGGCUUAGUCUUCGGUUGAUUGUUUGCUUAGAAAUAUAUCAUUACAUGUGAUGAGUUCAUAGAAAGUGAGUGAUCUACGCAAUUUUGUAAGUUUAUUA